GAACGAAGCACUUCAUAAAGUUUACUUUAAGAAGCGACUUAGUGGCGGACGGGUGAGUAACGCGUGGGUAACCUGCCUUACACAGGGGGAUAACAGUUAGAGAUGACUGCUAAUACCGCAUAAAACAGCAGAGUCGCAUGACUCAACUGUCAAAGAUUUAUCGGUGUAAGAUGGACCCGCGUCUGAUUAGCUGGUUGGUGGGGUAACGGCCUACCAAGGCAACGAUCAGUAGCCGGCCUGAGAGGGUGAACGGCCACAUUGGGACUGAGACACGGCCCAAACUCCUACGGGAGGCAGCAGUGGGGAAUAUUGGACAAUGGGCGAAAGCCUGAUCCAGCGACGCCGCGUGAGCGAUGAAGUAUUUCGGUAUGUAAAGCUCUAUCAGCAGGGAAGAAAACGACGGUACCUGACUAAGAAGCCCCGGCUAACUACGUGCCAGCAGCCGCGGUAAUACGUAGGGGGCAAGCGUUAUCCGGAUUUACUGGGUGUAAAGGGAGCGUAGACGGCAUCACAAGUCAGAAGUGAAAAUCCGGGGCUCAACCCCGGAACUGCUUUUGAAACUGUGGAGCUGGAGUGCAGGAGAGGUAAGCGGAAUUCCUAGUGUAGCGGUGAAAUGCGUAGAUAUUAGGAGGAACACCAGUGGCGAAGGCGGCUUACUGGACUGUAA
rnacentral:rRNA from 1 species